AACGAACGCUGGCGGCAUGCCUAACACAUGCAAGUCGAACGAGACCUUCGGGUCUAGUGGCGCACGGGUGCGUAACGCGUGGGAACCUGCCCUUAGGUUCGGAAUAACUCCCCGAAAGGGGUGCUAAUACCGGAUAAUGUCUUCGUACCAAAGAUUUGGCGCUUUUGGAUGGGCCCGCGGUGGAUUAGCUAGUUGGUAGGGUAGAGGCCUACCAAGGCGAUGAUGGGUAGCUGGUCGGAGAGGGUGACCAGCCACAUUGGGACGGAGACACGGCCCAGACUCCUACGGGAGGCAGCAGUGGGGAAUAUUGCACAAUGGGCGGAAGCCUGAUGCAGCAACGCCGCGUGCGGGAUGACGGCCUUCGGGUUGUAAACCGCUUUCGCCUGUGACGAAGCGUGAGUGACGGUAAUGGGUAAAGAAGCACCGGCUAACUACGUG
rnacentral:rRNA from 1 species